UUUUUUUUUUUUUUUUUCUUUUUUUACUUUUGGUUUUCCAUUUCCUUUAUGGGUUUUUGUAUUGUAUUGUAUAAUUUUAAAGUGAGAACAAAAAGAAAAGAAAAAAAAAGAGAGAGAGAUACCUACCUGAGAGGAAAUUCUAUAUUUGGUUUGCACCCUCCUUGUGAAUUGCAAUCUUUCAAACUCUUCUUCACAUCCCAGGUGUGAUUUUAUACAACUGAAAGCAGCUUGGCUUGAGCUUAACUACAUUUUUUGUUUGUUUCUCUAUUAAAAAAGGUGUGUUGAUCAUAUUGUAAGGCAACUUUACUUGUUCAGUUCUCUAGUUCUUGCUAUAAUAUUGAACAAUUGGUUUGUGAAAUUUGAGAUAGAAUUUUUUUAUUCCCAGUUCCUAAGCUUUCAGUCUUCUGCAUAAUCAAAGGAGCUAUUAGUUUGUUCUUAUUUCACCUCUUAUGAACAAUAUUGAGUUCUGAAUCUUAAACUGCU